UCCCCGUUCUCCUGGGCAGUCUGUCCAGAGUGCUUCGAACUCUCGUUCGAGUGGCAACAGGACACAAGGGUUGCGCUCGUUGCGGGACUUAACCCAACAUCUCACGACACGAGCUGACGACAGCCAUGCAGCACCUGUGUAGGCUGGUAUUGCUACCUCGUUACCCUUUCGGGCUUCUACUACCUACAUGUCAAGGCCAGGUAAGGUUCUUCGCGUUGCAUCGAAUUAAGCCACAUACUCCACCGCUUGUGCAGGCCCCCGUCAAUUUCUUUGAGUUUUAAUCUUGCGACCGUACUUCCCAGGCGGCACAUUUAACGCGUUGGCUACGCCACGAAAGGGGUCGAAUCCUCUCACAGCAAAUGUGCACCGUUUACGGCUAGGACUAC
rnacentral:misc_RNA from 1 species